UCUCCCCUACGGGAGGCAGCAGUAGGGAGUAUUGCUCAAUGGGGGAAACCCUGAAGCAGCAACGCCGCGUGGAGGAUGAAGGUUUUCGGAUUGUAAACUCCUUUUGUUAGAGAAGAUAAUGACGGUAUCUAACGAAUAAGCACCGGCUAACUCCGUGCCAGCAGCCGCGGUAAUACGGGGGGUGCAAGCGUUACUCGGAAUCACUGGGCGUAAAGAGCGCGUAGGCGGGAUAGCAAGUCAGAUGUGAAAUCCUAUGGCUUAACCAUAGAACUGCAUUUGAACAUGUUA
rnacentral:rRNA from 1 species